rnacentral:rRNA from 1 species
AUUGAACGCUGGCGGCAGGCCUAACACAUGCAAGUCGAGCGAGCGGCGGACGGGUGAGUAAUGUCUGGGAAACUGCCUGAUGGAGGGGGAUAACUACUGGAAACGGUAGCUAAUACCGCAUACCAUCAGAUGUGCCCAGAUGUGAGUAGCUAGUAGGUGGGGUAAUGGCUCACCUAGGCGACGAUCCCUAGCUGGUCUGAGAGGAGGACCAGCGACACGGGAACUGAGAUACGGUCCUGACUCCUCAGGGAGGCAGCAGUGGGGAAUAUUGCACAAUGGGCGCAAGCCGGAUGCAGCAAUGCCGCGUGGAUGAAGAAGGCCUUCGGUUUGUAAAGUACUUUCGUCGGGGAGGCGUUACCCGCAGAAGAAGCACCGGCUAACUCCGUGCCAGCCGCCGCGGUAAUUC